GACGAACGCUGGCGGCGUGCCUAAUACAUGCAAGUCGAGCGAAGCGGCGGAUGGGUGAGUAACGCGUGGGUAACCUGCCCUUAAGUCUGGGAUACCAUUUGGAAACAGAUGCUAAUACCGGAUACUAAAGGAUGGACCUGCGAUGCAUUAGCUAGUUGGUAAGGUAACGGCUUACCAAGGCGAUGAUGCAUAGCCGAGUUGAGAGACUGAUCGGCCACAUUGGGACUGAGACACGGCCCAAACUCCUACGGGAGGCAGCAGUAGGGAAUCUUCCACAAUGGACGAAAGUCUGAUGGAGCAACGCCGCGUGAGUGAAGAAGGUUUUCGGAUCGUAAAACUCUGUUGUUAGAGAAGCGGUAUCUAACCAGAAAGCCACGGCUAACUACGUGCCAGCCGCCGCGGUAAUAC
rnacentral:rRNA from 1 species